GCCGUGGGCCAGGCUGGCUGACAGGCAACCCGCCGCUGCUGGGAAGACGACGACCGCCUCAGAAAGUUCUAGUAGGGCCUCCCCUGGCCCGAAGGGCGCCCUCGUCGCCUCAGCCCAAAAAGAAAGCUGUUCCCUUCCCGACCUCGAGGGCAACCCUUUAUGAACCCAGACAGAUAGGCGACGAAAUUGCCUCAGAGGUGGCUUCUUUCCGAUCCCUGAGUAACUUAAGCCGGUCGUGGAGUACUCUGGAGUUUCAUGAGGAGUCACUACUAAUCCGUAGUGAGUUCUCACGGCAUUAAAACAGCCAAGGUGCACCAGGUUAGGGUGUCCAUAUGAUUAACACCCCGUGGUAGUUCAGUCAUCUGAUCCCAAUAUAAACCACCCUGGGAGUAAGCUAAGUUUUAUUCUUAAAUUUAGUCUAGUCUCUGAUCUCUGGACAACGUAAGCCUAUCGUGGGACACAUUGGAGCUCAGUAAUAAGCUGCUAGCCUGUGUCCUCCUCCAGGUUUCACUGGCAGAUGAAGUGUGGCUAUAAAAGAAAAGGCCUUUUCAGUAGCGGAAGCCUAUUCAUGGAAUGCUCUCCCUAGAGAAACUGACCUGGCACCCUGGUGAACUUUGUUUAUCUUGUUGCUGUUUUUCUGCCACCAGACUUAUACCGAUAUUCAGCAGUAUCAAGAUGUCAUUGUUCGGGAGGCAGAGGAGCUGAAUCAUUUCUUCUGUAGACUGGGCAUGAUCAUCUCUACAAAACUGUCUUCCCAGUUCGCUUUUUGAAAAUAAAUUGUAAAUUAUAUAAAUAUUUACAAUGUUUAUAGAAAUGUUAAAAAGUAUUUUCAUUAACAUGCACAGGCUGAAAUCCCGUUGCUUUUUAACUGGCACAGAAGGCAAUUCUCAGUGGCACCUGUCAGCUUGGCAAGUGCUUCAGAAUCCCAGAAAGGACUCAUUAACUGCUGGCUAGGAGUAAGUGAAUGUUAUGCUGUUUCCCUGCCACUUGCAUAAAAAAGCAGCAGGAUUUCAGUCGUAGAAUCAUUUGGUUUCCUCACGUUCUGAUUAUGCACGUCAUAAAAUGUUUCCUUUUUGUAUUACUUCCUCCAAUGAAUGUAUUUCUCCAGCCAGAUUUUGUUAGCGUAACUGUAUGCAGAACAGAGUUUAUUCUGCUUUGUAUGCUGAGGAACAUACAGGAUUAGAAUUUUAACAGAUGAACUAAACUGUUACAGCAUACUUAACAACAUCCAGUCUCCUGCAGAAUCUGUUUCCUAAUAAUAGUUGAUGUUAAAUAUCAUUUCCUAUUUAAGGUGUGUGUAGAGAAAAGAAUGCUUCACAUAGAGCCUUGAACUUUUACACACAUAAAAGCUAAAUAUACAAAAAAAAAGGUUCACUGACAAAGUGGUAUUUUUCUUUUCACUACUUUCUGCCUCUCUGUGUUUUGGCAUUGUUAAUGCUCAUUUAAGUAUUCACACAUGGGAUUGCAAAAAAGGCUAAAGAAUCUUACUGCUUUCUAAUGAGUUUGCACUCUGAAAUUUAACACCUUUAAGAAGACUGAAGGUUCAGCAUGGAAAAGACUGUCUCCUGAAUAUAUCUGUUUCUGACAGUGGUUACUUUUUCAUUUGUUUUAACAAUUAAAUACAAACAAGACUUUAGAACAUGCAAGAGCCAACUCUUGACAGGACAAAUGGAAAAAGGAUAUGAGAUUCAAUGCUUGAGGUUUUGGAAAGGCUGCAGAGUGAAAACUGUCAUGAAGCCAAGCUAAUAUGACCAUUUCCUUUAUGUGCAAAAUAUUCACCAGGGAUUUCCUGCUUACAUCCAGGAAACAAGUGUUGUACUAGAAAAAGAAUUUAUUUCUUACCAUUUAGAGACACAAUUAAGUAAGCUCUCUGUGGCACUACAGCCACACACCUUUUGAAAUCAGACUGUUGGGGCUUCAAGGUGCAACCUAUCGCCCAGCUUGGCAGAGGACAUACUAGGGUCAUAAAGAAUCUCCUGUAUGCAUGCAAAUACAUCAGAACCCACUUGUUCCUUCCUUCAGGUAGUUAAGAAGGCUGAAGGGAAGGUGUAACAUUACAAACAUUUUUCCCAGUGGAAUUUCUCCAUGCAAAGUUUAAUCAGACUUACUUUUGUAGAGGCCACCCAUCCACCCUCCCACAUAUUUGUGGAGAAACACUUGCAGUGGUUUGUGAAGAGGAUAUUUCAGGCAGAAUCCAGAAUCCAGUGGUGAACUUCAGCUGCUGGAACAGCAAUCAUCCUUUCUUACUGCAGAUUCCCAUGUGCCCCCCAAAACAGCUGUGGAGGGGUGGGAAAACCUUUGGAGCAGAUUUUGAGAUGGUGUUAGGGGCUGCAAUGAGGGGGGGAGUUCUGAAACUUCAACAUAUGGUUUUAUUCCUGUGCCUUAUCAGGAGUGAGAUGGCAAGCAGGCUUUAUCCUUAGUUCCACAAUUCCUGAGUCCACAUCAACACCUAAGCACCAGUUUCCUCUCUGAACUGAAUAUACCGUCUCAUCUGAAUAUGCUUCUGUGUGCCAGAAACACAAAGGGAGAUCAAAGUAAGUGUAGCAAAAUGUCAAAAGGUGACAUCAUUCCUGCCUGUCCAUCACAGGAGCUCAAGGGGUACGAGCCAGAGAGACAGGGAGUUGGGGAGACAGACAGUUAGAGAGAGUUAGGGAUAGUUGAAGAUGUGGAAUGAGAGGGUUUAGGAAAAUGAAGGAGAGGAUCAGUGAAUUGAGCUAAGGGUGUUAGGAGAGGAAAUUGAGAUGUUUAAACCAUAUUGAACAAGCAGGAAUGAAAGUAUAA